rnacentral:rRNA from 1 species
UACGUAGGGUGCGAGCGUUAAUCGGAAUUACUGGGCGUAAAGCGUGCGCAGGCGGUGAUGUAAGACAGGUGUGAAAUCCCCGGGCUUAACCUGGGAACUGCAUUUGGUGACUGCAUCGCUGGAGUGCGGCAGAGGGGGAUGGAAUUCCGCGUGUAGCAGUGAAAUGCGUAGAUAUGGGGAGGAACACCGGUGGCGAAGGCGGCCGAUCUGGACGGAUACUGACGCUGAGACGCGAAAGCGUGGGUAGCGAAACAGG